rnacentral:rRNA from 1 species
GACGAACGCUGGCGGCGUGCUUAACACAUGCAAGUCGAACGGAAAGGCCCUGCUUUUGUGGGGUGCUCGAGUGGCGAACGGGUGAGUAACACGUGAGUAACCUGCCCUUGACUUUGGGAUAACUUCAGGAAACUGGGGCUAAUACCGGAUAGGAGCUCCUGCUGCAUGGUGGGGGUUGGAAAGUUUCGGCGGUUGGGGAUGGACUCGCGGCUUAUCAGCUUGUUGGUGGGGUAGUGGCUUACCAAGGCUUUGACGGGUAGCCGGCCUGAGAGGGUGACCGGCCACAUUGGGACUGCGAUACGGCCCAGACUCCUACGGGAGGCAGCAGUGGGGAAUAUUGCACAAUGGGCGGAAGCCUGAUGCAGCAACGCCGCGUGCGGGAUGCCGGCCUUCGGGUUGUAGACCGCUUUCGCCUGUGACGAAGCGUGAGUGACGGUAAUGGCUAAUGAAGCACCGGCUAACUACGUG